UACAGAGGGUGCGAGCGUUAAUCGGAAUUACUGGGCGUAAAGCGCACGUAGGUGGCGACGUAAGUCGGGUGUGAAAGCCCCGGGCUCAACCUGGGAAUUGCAUUCGAGACUGCAUUGCUGGAGUACGGAAGAGGAGGGCGGAAUUCCCGGUGCAGCGGUGAAAUGCGUAGAUAUCUGGAGGAACACCGGUGGCGAAGGCGGCAUCCUGGACCGGUAUUGACGCUGAGGCGCGAAAGCCAGGGGAGCAAACGGG
rnacentral:rRNA from 1 species